rnacentral:rRNA from 1 species
UACGUAGGGUGCAGGCGUUAAUCGGAAUUACUGGGCGUAAAGCGUGCGCAGGCGGUUUCUUAAGUCAGAUGUGAAAGCCCCGGGCUUAACCUGGGAAUGGCAUGGGAAACUGGCGAGCUUGAGUGCGGCAGAGGGGGGUGGAAUUCCGCGUGUAGCAGUGAAAUGCGUAGAGAUGCGGAGGAACACCGAUGGCGAAGGCAGCCCCCUGGGUCGACACUGACGCUCAGGCACGAAAGCGUGGGGAGCAAACAGG